AUUCUUGCAUUCCAAGGUUCAUUGAGAACCAUUUUCCAAACUAGCAGUAAUUUCUAAAACCUAGAAAAACAGCAUAACUAACUUAAAAAUAAGUUCUAAAGAUCAUGAAUGUUUGCACUUGAGAAACCUUAUAUUUAAUUAGUGGAGGUAGAAGACAUAGACUUUUGAGAAUGUUUUAAAGGGAAGUUGAGAGAAUUUUCAAGGGUUUAGAGGCUAAUGGAGCCUUGCAAACAACAAUCUCCAGACACUCCCAAAAGAUAUUUUCAAAGGCCUGGAUUCUUUAACAAAUGUGGACCUGAGGGGUAAUUCAUUUAAUUGUGACUGUAAACUGAAAUGGCUAGUGGAAUGGCUUGGCCACACCAAUGCAACUGUUGAAGACAUCUACUGCGAAGGCCCCCCAGAAUACAAGAAGCGCAAAAUCAAUAGUCUCUCCUCGAAGGAUUUCGAUUGCAUCAUUACAGAAUUUGCAAAGUCUCAAGACCUGCCUUAUCAAUCAUUGUCCAUAGACACUUUUUCUUAUUUGAAUGAUGAGUAUGUAGUCAUCGCUCA
rnacentral:sRNA from 1 species